AACGAACGCUGGCGGCGCGCCCUAAUACAUGCAAGUCGAGCGAGAAGGUGUAGCAAUACACUUGUAAAGCGGCGAACGGGUGAGGAAUACAUGGGUAAUCUACCAUCGAGUGGGGGAAUAACCAGCCGAAAGGUUGGCUAAUACCGCGUACGCUUCCGAGUCUUCGGGCUUGGAAGGAAAGCCGCGCUGUGAGUGCGGCGCUCUUUGAUGAGCUCAUGUCCUAUCAGCUUGUUGGUAGGGUAACGGCCUACCAAGGCUUUGACGGGUAGCUGGUCUGAGAGGACGAUCAGCCACACUGGCACUGCGACACGGGCCAGACUCCUACGGGAGGCAGCAGUAAGGAAUAUUGCGCAAUGGGCGAAAGCCUGACGCAGCGACGCCGCGUGGGGGAUGAAGGUCUUCGGGAUUGUAAACCCCUUUUCGGGACGGGAAGAUGGAGCGAGCAAUCGUUCGGACGGUACCUCCAGAAGCAGCCACGG
rnacentral:rRNA from 1 species